GACGAACGCUGGCGGCGUGCUUAACACAUGCAAGUCGAACGAAGUGGCGAACGGGUGAGUAACGCGUAAUCAACCUGCCCUUCAGGGGGGGACAACAGUUGGAAACGACUGCUAAUCCCGCAUACUGAAGGGGGGGAUGGCGUGUGAUUAGCUAGUUGGAGGGGCAACGGCCCACCAAGGCGAUGAUCAGUAGCCGGGUUGGGAGGGUGAACGGCCACAUUUGGAAGGGGAAACGGCCCAGAACCCCACGGGGAGCAGGCGGGGGGGAAUUGCCGACAUGGACGGAAGUCUGAAGGAGCAACGCCGCGUGGUUUGUUAAGGCCCUCGGGGUGUAAAACUCUGUUAAUCGGGACGCGGUACCGGAAUAGAAAGCCCCGGCUAACUACGUGCCAGCAGCCGCGGUAAUAC
rnacentral:rRNA from 1 species